AUUGAACGCUGGCGGAAUGCUUUACACAUGCAAGUCGAACGGCAGCACGGGGCAACCUGGUGGCGAGUGGCGAACGGGUGAGUAAUACAUCGGAACGUGCCCAAUCGUGGGGGAUAACGUAGCGAAAGUUACGCUAAUACCGCAUACGAUCUACGGAUGAAAGCGGGGGAUCGCAAGACCUCGCGCGAGUGGAGCGGCCGAUGUCAGAUUAGGUAGUUGGUGGGGUAAAGGCUCACCAAGCCAACGAUCUGUAGCUGGUCUGAGAGGACGACCAGCCACACUGGAACUGAGACACGGUCCAGACUCCUACGGGAGGCAGCAGUGGGGAAUUUUGGACAAUGGGCGCAAGCCUGAUCCAGCCAUUCCGCGUGCAGGAUGAAGG
rnacentral:rRNA from 1 species